rnacentral:rRNA from 1 species
GACGAACGCUGGCGGCGUGCCUAAUACAUGCAAGUCGAGCGGACGUUUUCUUGGUGCUUGCGCCGAGAUUACGUUAGCGGCGGACGGGUGAGUAACACGUGGGUAACCUGCCUUAUAGCUUGGGAUAACUCCGGGAACCGGGGCUAAUACCGAAUAAUACUUUUGAACGCAUGUUCGAAAGUUGAAAGAUGGUUCUGCUAUCACUAUUAAGAUGGGACCGCGGUGCAUUAGCUAGUUGGGGAGGUAACGGCUCACCAAGGCAACGAUGCAUAGCCGACCUGAGAGGGUGAUCGGCCACACUGGGACUGAGACACGGCCCAGACUCCUACGGGAGGCAGCAGUAGGGAAUCUUCCGCAAUGGACGAAAGUCUGACGGAGCAACGCCGCGUGAGUGAUGAAGGCUUUCGGGUCGUAAAACUCUGUUGUUAGGGAAGAACAAGUACGAGAGUAACUGCUCGUACCUUGACGGUACCUAACCAGAAAGCCACGGCUAACUACGUGCCAGCAGCCGCCGUAAAAC